AGAGCGAACGCUGGCGGCGUGCCUAACACAUGCAAGUCGAGCGAGAAAGGGAACUUCGGUUCUUGAGUACAGCGGCGAACGGGUGCGUAACACGUGGGCAAUCUAUCUUCAAGAUGGGGAUAACUCAGCGAAAGUUGAGCUAAUACCCAAUAAGACCACGAAAAGCAAUUCUCGUGAUCAAAGAGCGCUUCUUCUAGAAGCACUCGCUAGCAGAGGAGCCCGCGACCUAUCAGCUUGUUGGUGGGGUAACGGCCCACCAAGGCAAAGACGGGUAGCUGGUCUGAGAGGAUGACCAGCCACACGGGGACUGAGACACGGCCCCGACUCCUACGGGAGGCAGCAGUGGGGAAUAUUGGGCAAUGGGGGAAACCCUGACCCAGCGACGCCGCGUGGGUGAUGAAGGCCUUCGGGUCGUAAAGCCUUGUCAAGAGGGAAGAAUGCCCUCGAAGUAAAUAGCUUCGAGGAGUGACGGUACCUCUGAAGGAAGCACCGGCCAACUCCGUGCCAGCAGCCGCGGUAAGACGGAGGGUGCAAGCGUUGCUCGGAAUCAUUGGGCGUAAAGGGUGCGUAGGCGGCUUCUUAAGUCUGACGUGAAAGCCCAGGGCUCAGCCUUGGAAGUGCGUUAGAAACUGAGAAGCUUGAGUGCCGGAGGGGAGAGUGGAAUUCCUGGUGUAGCGGUGAAAUGCGUAGAUAUCAGGAGGAAUACCGGUGGCGAAAGCGACUCUCUGGACGGCAACUGACGCUGAGGCACGAAAGCGUGGGUAGCAAACAGGAUUAGAUACCCUGGUAGUCCACGCUGUAAACGAUGGACACUAGGUGUCGGGGGUAUCCACUCCCUCGGUGCCGCCGCUAACGCAUUAAGUGUCC
rnacentral:rRNA from 1 species